rnacentral:misc_RNA from 1 species
UACGGAGGGUGCGAGCGUUAAUCGGAAUUACUGGGCGUAAAGCGCGCGUAGGCGGCUGAUUAAGUCGGGUGUGAAAGCCCCGGGCUCAACCUGGGAAUUGCAUCCGAUACUGAUUGGCUUGAGUGCAGGAGAGGAAGGUAGAAUUCCACGUGUAGCGGUGAAAUGCGUAGAUAUGUGGAGGAAUACCGGUGGCGAAGGCGGCCUUCUGGCCUGACACUGACGCUGAGGUGCGAAAGCGUGGGGAGCAAACAGG